rnacentral:rRNA from 1 species
GAGUUUGAUCAUGGCUCAGAUUGAACGCUGGCGGCAUGCCUUACACAUGCAAGUCGAACGGUAACAGGUUAAGCUGACGAGUGGCGAACGGGUGAGUAAUACAUCGGAACGUGCCCGAUCGUGGGGGAUAACGCAGCGAAAGCUGUGCUAAUACCGCAUACGAUCUACGGAUGAAAGCAGGGGAUCGCAAGACCUUGCGCGGACGGAGCGGCCGAUGGCAGAUUANGUAGUUGGUGAGGUAAAGGCUCACCAAGCCUUCGAUCUGUAGCUGGUCUGAGAGGACGACCAGCCACACUGGGACUGAGACACGGCCCAGACUCCUACGGGAGGCAGCAGUGGGGAAUUUUGGACAAUGGGCGCAAGCCUGAUCCAGCCAUGCCGCGUGCAGGAUGAAGGCCUUCGGGUUGUAAACUGCUUUUGUACGGAACGAAAAGGUUCUCUCUAAUACAGGGGGCUCAUGACGGUACCGUAAGAAUAAGCACCGGCUAACUACGUGCCAGCAGCCGCGGUAAUACGUAGGGUGCAAGCGUUAAUCGGAAUUACUGGGCGUAAAGCGUGCGCAGGCGGUGAUGUAAGACAGAUGUGAAAUCCCC